ACGCGGAUUUCCUGAAAGGCUUUCUCAGGAAGUUCCUACCCGGGAUGCUAAGUGGGGCCCACCGUGAUGUUUUUAAUAAAUCCACUCCGUUCAUCUGUUUUUCCGGAUCAUUUUAUGACAAGAGACUAAAAAUCAGGUGGACCCAAAACUCAAAGCAGCCAUACAUAAGGAAAAACUAGGGAAAGAGUUUCCUACCGUUGAAAUCUUCAUGCGCUCCAUAUGCCAUCCAAACCGUUUCUAAGGGAUGAAGAUGCGCGAGUGGGCCUAGCAAUCGAGAGUGACGGAAGAGUCAACGAGGAACAUGGCAAUGGUCACAAUUCCAACUGCCCUACCACCAAAAAUUUGAAAGAGACUCGUUUGUUGGAAUGUAUUUGACUGAUUGCAUCAGCAUCACUCUCGUCCAUUCAUUGUAUCAGUCAUUUAUCAACCACCACAAUCUCUUCAUUUUGAAGGAGAGAUAUUUUAAAUUUUCAAAAUGAGAACUGAUCACGUACAGGACCCUGUACUAUUAUUUGUGGUA